AAGGAUUUAAGUUAAGCUAAACUCCUAACCUUCAAAGUUAGAAAUAGAUUUUAUCUAAGCCUUA
rnacentral:tRNA from 1 species